ACGAAAAAUUAUCUCACAUAUUAAAGUAAUCGAAGAUUGGUUUAUUUGCCUACGACUUAAGCUUUAUUUCUAUCAAUUUAAGGCUAACAUCUAUAAAACUGCCAUAUGAAUACGGGCCUUAACAUCGGCAGAAAAUCGCGAAAAGAUCAAGAAACAUGGUGGUUCGUGAUUCCUGUCUUUUUGCGCCGUCAUCAUUUCAACGAGAGACCGAGUGAGAUUAGAUUAUAAGAUAAACAGAAUGUUAUCGGAAAGUCAUCUAAGCAUUUUGAGAAGAAUCUUCGGAAAGAUGAACGUAGAAACCAAUUGUUGCAAUUAAGAAGAAAGAAGCGCGAGCAAGUAUUUGCGCAGAAGACAAAUCUCGGUUGCACCUGUUUUACAAAAUCUUCAAGGUUCAAAUAAAAGGUUGGUUCAGUAGUUAUAGCUAUAUUUUCUGAAGAUAGAGCUCUUUAUCGAGCGGAAGUUCUGAAUAUUGAUACGCGGAAGGAUGCAUACGUAGUUCAGUACAUAAAUUUUGGAAAUUGCGCAGUCUAAUCAACAUCGCGUAUUUCAAAUUCGACAUCGAUGACAUCUCCGGAGAGUUAGAUGCAAAGAGACCGGUACUUUUCCGCUUGACGCCCAAUAUCUUCGAAUUUCUCACAACUAUAGGAGUUCGCGGACCAUUGACCGCUAGCGCGAUCGCCACAGCGCGCUGUUUGGUUCAGCCCACGUUCCAGCUGCAUGCUAUACUUCGCACAAUUUUGCGGGAUGAAGUGAUCGCGGACCAUAAACGGCAAGAAGACGCCAAGGGCACAUCACAAGAGCCGACCGAUCUAAAGGUUGAACUUCUGAUAAAGAUGGUGAACCACGCGGUCAACGCGAUUGUCGGUAGACUAAAUUCUCUCGCGAAUUUCGACGGCAAUGACAGUAAGGUCAGCACACUAGUAGCCGCUGCCAAUAGCCAUGACAAUCUCUGCAGAAUGGAUUCCUCGUGGCACCCAUGGCUGUAAGAUACAGAACGUUUGGCCUAACAACACAUUUGUGCUAUAACGAGAAAAGGAUUAAAAUCAUUAUCGCAUUAUUCAUUUUAUUUUCUUGCCCAUAUACGUUCUUAUAUUUUAUAACACUGACGCUAGCUUUCAGGAAGUUAUUGAAAAAUGAAAGAUGAUAAAGAGAAGUUAGACGCUAGAAAAGUAUUAUUUAUAAUCUAUACAUAUAUAUAGAUAUAUGAAUAUACGUAGUUUAUAUGCAUUAUAACAUUAAUUUUGUACAACGUAAAUCGAAACUAUUUGUAAACUGCGAAUUUAAUUCUAUUCUCUAACUCUUACUUUGUAUAUGUAUUAUAUUGCUUAUAGAUUCGGUUUCACUAUAUAUAAACAUACUGUUUGCUAAUGCAUAGCACUUCAAUGUAACGUAAAGCUCCAGUUCGAGUUCCUAGUAAGUAAACUAUAUUUUAAGAAACUUGUGCAGAUAAUUUGUAAGAAUAGUUCUUGCUAAGAAGUGGAAUAUAGACCUGAGAUACAUAUAGUACUUAUUUAUUGUAAAAGACAUGAACAUUAGGAUCUAUAUGAAAAUUGUAUGAAAUAAUAAGGUUCUU